GGUUAAGUUAGAAAGGGCGCACGGUGGAUGCCUUGACACUAGGAGUCGAUGAAGGACGGGACUAACGCCGAUAUGCUUCGGGGAGCUGUAAGUAAGCUUUGAUCCGAAGAUUUCCGAAUGGAGAAACCCACUAUACGUAAUGGUAUGGUAUCCUUACCUGAAUACAUAGGGUAUGGAAGACAGACCCAGGGAACUGAAACAUCUAAGUACCUGGAGGAAGAGAAAG
rnacentral:rRNA from 1 species